rnacentral:rRNA from 1 species
GAAAGGCCAAUCAAACUCGGAAAUAGCUGGUUCUCCGCGAAAUCUAUUUAGGUAGAGCGUCGGAUGAAUACCUUGGGGGGUAGAGCACUGGAUGGGCUAGGGGGAUUUACCGUCUUACCAAACCUAACCAAACUCCGAAUACCCAAGAGUACUAUCUGGCAGACAGACGGUGGGUGCUAACGUCCAUCGUCAAAAGGGAAACAACCCUGACCGCCAGCUAAGGCCCCCAAAUCAUGGCUAAGUGUGAAAGGAUGUGGGGAUCCCAAAACAACCAGGAUGUUGGCUUAGAAGCAGCCAUCAUUUAAAGAAAGCGUAACAGCUCACUGGUCUAAAUAAGGGUUCCUGCGCCGACAAUGUAACGGGGCUCAAGCCAUGUGCCGAAGCUGCGGAUGUGAUCCUUAGGGAUCACGUGGUAGCGGAGCGUUCCGUAAGCCUGUGAAGGGAGACUCGUGAGAGCUCCUGGAGGUAUCGGAAGUGCGAAUGCUGACAUGAGUAACGACAAACAGUGUGAGAGACACUGUCGCCGAAAGUCCAAGGGUUCCUGCGUAAAGCUAAUCUGCGCAGGGUUAGCCGGCUCCUAAGGCGAGGCCGAAAGGCGUAGUCGAUGGGAAUGGGGUGAAUAUUCCCCAGCCUGCGGGUAGUGACGAAUGCCGUGUAUUGUAGUGCCUUAUUGGAUUGGUGCUGCAGUGAAGGUGUUCCAGGAAAUAGCUCCCGCGUAUAGACCGUACCCUAAACCGACACAGGUGGACUGGUAGAGUAUACCAAGGCGCUUGAGAGAAUGGUGCUGAAGGAACUCGGCAAAUUGCCUCCGUAACUUCGGGAGAAGGAGGCCCUCGACUUGGGCAACCAGGUCGGGGGGGCACAGACUAGGGGGUAGCGACUGUUUACCUAAAACACAGGGCUCUGCGAAGCCGUAAGGCGACGUAUAGGGUCUGACGCCUGCCCGGUGCCGGAAGGUUAAGAGGAGAUGUGCAAGCAUUGAAUUGAAGCCCCGGUAAACGGCGGCCGUAACUAUAACGGUCCUAAGGUAGCGAAAUUCCUUGUCGGGUAAGUUCCGACCUGCACGAAUGGCGUAACGACUUCCCCGCUGUCUCCAGCACCUACUCAGUGAAAUUGAAUUCCCCGUGAAGAUGCGGGGUUCCCGCGGUCAGACGGAAAGACCCCAUGAACCUUUACUAUAGCUUUGCACUGGCAUUCGUGUUUGCAUGUGUAGGAUAGGUGGUAGGCUUUGAAGCAUGGGCGCCAGCUCGUGUGGAGCCAUCCUUGAAAUACCACCCUUGUGAAUAUGAAUGUCUAACCGCGGUCCGUCAUCCGGAUCCGGGACCGUGCAUGGUGGGUAGUUUGACUGGGGCGGUCGCCUCCCAAAGUGUAACGGAGGCGCGCGAUGGUGGGCUCAGACCGGUCGGAAAUCGGUCGUCGAGUGCAAUGGCAUAAGCCCGCCUGACUGCGAGACUGACAAGUCGAGCAGAGACGAAAGUCGGCCAUAGUGAUCCGGUGGUCCCACGUGGACGGGCCAUCGCUCAACGGAUAAAAGGUACUCUGGGGAUAACAGGCUGAUGAUGCCCAAGAGUCCAUAUCGACGGCAUCGUUUGGCACCUCGAUGUCGACUCAUCACAUCCUGGGGCUGGAGAAGGUCCCAAGGGUUCGGCUGUUCGCCGAUUAAAGUGGUACGUGAGUUGGGUUCAGAACGUCGUGAGACAGUUCGGUCCCUAUCUGCCGUGGGUGUAGGAAUAUUGAGAGGAUCUGUCCUUAGUACGAGAGGACCGGGAUGGACGUACCUCUGGUGGACCUGUUGUGGCGCCAGCCGCAUUGCAGGGUAGCUAUGUACGGACGGGAUAACCGCUGAAGGCAUCUAAGCGGGAAACCCACCUCAAAACGAGUAUUCCCUUGAGAGUCGUGGUAGACCACCACGUUGAUAGGCCGGGUGUGGAAGUGCGGCAACGCAUGUAGCUUACCGGUACUAAUAACUCGAUUGGCUUGAUCAC